rnacentral:misc_RNA from 1 species
GUAUUUGUUCACGUUGUUACACGCUAUAACUUUAUUCAUUCUAUGACUUGUAUAAGUGUGUGUAAAAAUUCAUAGCAAGGGAUUUUAAUGCCGUUUCCAGCAUCCCAAGCUACAGGUUGUGCACAGGUGUGAGAGGGGGAUGCACAAUCAGGGUGUGCACAUGCCCCAAGGGGCCAGCUACAACCCUUUUUGACAUUUGUUUCAUUAAUGAUCCUUCCGCAGGUUCACCUACGGAAA